GACAGAGGUGCCAAGCGUUAGGCGGAAUCACUGGGCUUAAAGUGUGUGUAGGUGGAUCGUUAAGUACCUUGUGAAAUCCCACGGCUCAACCGUGGAAUGGCUCGGCAGACUGCGGGUCUUGAGGUCGGUAGGGGUCGCUGGAACUCUAGGUGGAGCGGUGAAAUGCGUAGAUAUCUAGAGGAACGCCAAAGGUGAAGACAAGCGACUGGGCCGAUUCUGACGCUGAGGCACGAAAGCGUGGGGAGCGAACGGG
rnacentral:rRNA from 1 species